UUCGCAAUGCCCGAAAGGGUGACGAAGCGACGCCGCGUGCGGGAAGAAGGCCUUCGGGUUGUAAACCGCUGUCGGGAGUUAGGAAAUGUAAGGGCGUUAAUAGCGUUCUUGCUUGACUAAGGCUCCGGAGGAAGCCACGGCUAACUCUGUGCCAGCAGCCGCGGUAAUACAGAGGUGGCAAGCGUUGUUCGGAAUUAUUGGGCGUAAAGAGCACGUAGGCGGCCUUGCAAGUCAGUUGUGAAAGCCUUCCGCUCAACGGAAGAAUUGCAUCUGAUACUACAGGGCUAGAGUGAGGGAGGGGAGAGUGGAACUUCUGGUGGAGCGGUGAAAUGCGUAGAUAUCAGAAGGAACACCGGCGGCGAAAGCGACUCUCUGGUCCUUAACUGACGCUGAGGUGCGAAGGCUAGGGGAGCAAACGGGAUUAGAUACCCCGGUAGUCCUAGCCGUAAACGAUGGGCACUAAGUAGAGGGGUUUU
rnacentral:rRNA from 1 species